AUAUCAAUAAGCGGAGGAAAAGAAACUAACAAGGAUUCCCCUAGUAACGGCGAGCGAACCGGGAAGAGCCCAGAAUGAAAAUCUCCCUUUGGAGAAUUGUAGUCUAUAGAAGCAACCUCUGUAGCGUGCGGUUCUCAAGUCCUCUGGAAAGGGGCAUCAGAGAGGGUGACAAUCCCGUCGGAACCGUUGCUGCUGCCUCACGAGGUGCUUUCACAGAGUCGGGUUGCUUGGGAAUGCAGCCCUAAUUUGGUGGUAAAUCCCAUCUAAGGCUAAAUACUGGCGAGAGACCGAUAGCGCACAAGUA
rnacentral:rRNA from 1 species